rnacentral:lncRNA from 1 species
GGGCAUAUUGAGUUUUCAAUUGAUGGAGUCGGUUACAAAGUGAGCUUCAAAGAGAUUGAUGAGAUAUUUGGCUUUGUGAGGAAUGAGAGCUCUAUGAAGAAGUUUUUGUACCCUAAAGAAGUGGUUGCUGCUCUGUGGGACACCAUUGCUUUUGAACCGCAUGUUGGAGGCAAGAGCAAGACAAGCUGCUUAAGAAACC